rnacentral:rRNA from 1 species
GGGGGGAGUAUGGUCGCAAGGCCGAAACUUAAAGGAAUUGACGGAAGGGCACCACCAGGAGUGGAAUCUGCGGCUUAAUUUGACAACGCGGGAAAACUCACCAGGUCAGGACACGGUAAGGAUUGACGGACUGAAGGCUCUUUCUCGAUUCCGUGGAAAGUGGUGCAUGGCCGUUUUUGGUUGGUGGAUCGAUCCGUCUGGUUAAUUCCGUUAACGAACGAGACCUCGGCACUCCGAAUAGCGCGGCGGACGUCGCGGCCUCCGGGCCGUCUUCCGCACGAGCUUCUUAGAGGGACCGUCCCCCGCCGGGGAAGGAGGUGCGAGGCAACGACAGGUCUGUGAUGCCCUUAGAUGUUCUGGGCCGCACGCGCAUUACACUGACGCGUCCAACGGGUGACUCCCGACCCGAAGGGGCCGGGGAAUCCGCAAGGCGCGUCGUGAUGGGGAUUGAACGUUGCAAUUGUUGUUCACGAACGAGGAAUUCCUAGUAGGCGCGGGUCAUCAACCCGCGCCGAUUACGU